UACGUAGGGGGCUAGCGUUGUCCGGAAUCAUUGGGCGUAAAGCGCGCGUAGGCGGCCCGGUAAGUCCGCUGUAAAAGUCAAAGGCUCAACCUCUGAAUGUCAGUGGAUACUGCCGGGCUAGAGUCCGGAAGAGGCGAGUGGAAUUCCUGGUGUAGCGGUGGAAUGCGCAGAUAUCAGGAGGAACACCAACGGCGAAGGCAGCUCGCUAGGACGGUACUGACGCUAAGGCGCGAAAGCGUGGGGAGCGAACAGG
rnacentral:rRNA from 1 species